rnacentral:rRNA from 1 species
CGAAGUUGGAAUUGCUAGUAAUCGUGGAUCAGCAUGCCACGGUGAAUACGUUCCCGGGUCUUGUACACACCGCCCGUCACACCAUGGGAGCCGGUAAUACCCGAAGUCAGUAGUCUAACCGCAAGGAGGACGCUGCCGAAGGUAGGAUUGGCGACUGGGGUGAAGUCGUAACAAGGUAAC